ACGUAGGGGGCAAGCGUUAUCCGGAGUUACUGGGCGUAAAGCGUGCGUAGGCGGCUUUUUAAGUCGGAUGUGAAAUCCCUGAGCAUAACUUAGGAAUUGCAUUCGAUACUGGGAAGCUAGAGUAUGGGAGGGGAUGGUAGAAUUCCAGGUGUAGCGGUGAAAUGCGUAGAGAUCAGGAGGAAUACCGAUGGCGAAGGCAGCCAUCUGGCCUAAUACUGACGCUGAGGUACGAAAGCAUGGGGAGCAAACAG
rnacentral:rRNA from 1 species